GAGGUGCCUACUACUACGUGCAGGCCGCUGACGACGACCAGGAGUAGUUUAGGAGGAUCCCAGGCAGGAGGCCUGCGCCUCUUUCGAUUUGUAUCCCAGUUUGUGCUAGCCAUCUUGUGGCAACUUGUUUAACUUAUGUCUGUACUCAAAUAUUGUUGCUUCCGCUGACUCGUCUAUGAUCGAGCACUUGUAUUCGAGCCCUCGAGGCCCCUGGCUUGUAUUAUGAUGCUUGUACGACUUAUUUAUGUUUUAGAGUUGUGUUGUGAUAUCUUCCCGUGAGUCCUUGAUCUUGAUCGUACACGUUUGCGUGCAUGAUUAGUGUACGAUUGAAUCGGGGGCGUCACAAGUUGGUAUUAGAGCCGACUGCCUAUAGGAAUCCCCCUUCCACACUCCUUGGCCGAAGUCGAGUCUAGACAUUACAAAACUUUUACUAACAUGGAUGUGUGCCUUAUGGGCCCACGUCGCCAUUGGGUAAUAUUAGGAUCUUUUAUUCCUUGAUCCUUACUCUGGGACUCUGAUCUCUCUUCUAUUCGGGUUAAAUGAUUUUACUAAAUCUGACUCUAGGUUCUCGUAACUACUUCUCCCGGAGAGCCCCUUAUCACAGAUGAUCGCCUACUGCACCAGAAGAUUUUGAAGAUACUCUUCGAUCAUUCCCGAGACCCUUGUGCCCUCUGCCUUUUCAAUUCCCUAUUAUCGAUAUAUCCAUAUGGAUAACGACAUACACUUGUUGUUCAUACGAUUACUCUGUGUUUCUCUUGUUACUACAAGAUGCAUCGAAUUGCUCUCCGACUCUUAAGAAUCCCUUGUACCACUGCCUUGUAGUUCCUUGCUGCAGAAAUACCCAUACGGAUAAUUCUUCGCACUUAUCGAGUAUCCAGUCAUUCCCAGUUGUUCUUGUGUUCCGCAAAAGACAUCGAAAUACUAUUUGAUCUUUCGAAAAUGCUCAACAGCCUAUUGUUCUGGGAAUUCUUGCAUACUUGCAUUCCGGUUAAUUCCUUGGUCUAGCAAUUUACUUUAAAAACCUUUGUGAUUGUCAUUCUGAUCCUUUUGAUUCAACUUGUGUGUGAAUGCACACAAUCAUCAGUUGUUCCCUGGAAUUUAUCCUUCCUAUUCAGACGUCAUUCCAGACAUGAGCUGGAUCUCGACCAAUCAAAUUGCCAUAGAUUGUACCCCUAAGGCUAUUCAACUUAUCCCUGCAUUUAAGCUUUGAGUUAGUCAGUUGUUUCUAUAAUCCGAUGCACUUGCAUCCCUUCUUCCUUUGAUAGAGUACUGAUAUUCACAUCAGCUCCGUUGUAGACCACCGGACCUCUUGUUGGAUUAUUAUCCAACAGUGUCCUUCAUAUUCAAAUAACCUUGUGAGCCUUUCCACGAAUAUAUAAAGCCUGGGGUAAAUUGUAUCCUCUGUUUUCUCAACCAUGCUCUGUUUUUGAGCUAGUGGUAUUUACUAUUGAAGCUCGUGGUAUAUGUUUCCAUGAUACCCUGACGGGUCGAACCUAUGCCUUCCUAAAUAUGUGUGAACUCAAAAGUUUUCACGAGUCAUACUCAUCUGGUAUUUCACCAGGUAAAACUUUCAACACUAAUGCCUUUAUCAAAACGAGAAGUGAAUGAAAGGUUAUGCAUUGGAGAAGUGGGAGUCGACCUUGAACUUUGUGUUCAUGCCCAUGGACACGAUGUAGAUCCUAUCAUGGAAGCUUCUUGUAAUAAUAGCUAUUUCCUUGAUAUAAUAUCCUUUGGUAUCAGUGGAUUGAUCCUUUGCAAUCGUGGUUCUGACCAUAUGCUCUUCUCUGAUUCCAUUUCUCGGGCAAGUUUAAGCACUUGUCUUCUACAGAGCAAUACCCCAGUCAAACCUCUACUUUGGUCUGCCGUCGAGUAUUACCCCCUGGUAUCUCGAGAUUAUCAUGGAACCGCAUAACUUAUGAGUUCUUCAUCCAGUACUACCUUCUCACCGAUUCCAAUUUUUCCUGGGUUUUGAGUGGUUAGUCACUCGAGUACCCCGAUAACUGAAUCGAGUCUGCACUACGGUUCAACAACUCUUAGUAAUCUUCCUUACUUACGAGUUUGUACCCGAUCGCGUCAUUCCUAGCCUGUUUGGCUAUAUCCUUGUCGUGCCGAUUUUAACUGUGCUACCUGGUCCUUCCCGGAGCAAAAAUUUCGACGGUGAGCUAAUCUUACGUUGAUCUUCCUCGUCUUAUCAUUUGUCCUUGAACAACAAGCUUGAUUUCGAGUUUGUGUCGUACCCGUGGUUUCAAUAACUUUUUGCUUCAUCAUUCCGUUGACUUGAUGUCAUCGCCGAUCGGUUACAAAUCUUCUGGAAACCUCUCGACAAAUGUGUCAUGAUCAUCAUGAACAUUCUGAGGUCUUCCAAGAUAUCAAUCAAAUUCAUGAUGAGAAAUAACAUCCUUACCCUCGAUGAUUGGUGCUAUCAUCGACCACUUUAUUGCCUUCCGUUCAACACAAACUUGUUCGUGUUUUGUGUAUACCUUGAGAUCCUUGCUAUCCAGCAUUUGUUCUCCUUUACCUUGGAGUAUUACCAUCUUUUGUGUCAAGAAUGUCGUGAGAAAUUCACCACCUCUUAAGAAUUCUUGAUAUAGUAAUACUUCUCGCCAUCUCCGUUCAUAUCUUGGUCCCCGUGUUGUUUCAAAACUUCUAGCAACCCUAUUGCUUGAAGUUGAUGGUUGAUAGUUCGUUCUUAGACUAUAGGUUGUUGAACCACCAUUCUAACAUUGAUCGUGCAACCCAGCCCAUAUUUCAGGUGCACCUUUCAACCAAUGUUUAAUUGUGUAUGUUUCCCUUGAGCAUACAUCAUUAUAUCAUCAAAUCUGACAAAUGGUAUCUCCGUGUCCGCAUAAUUGUGGAAAUCCAUCUUUUUGGAAAUCUCAAUAAAUUGUCGCUGACUCCAUCGGCCACAUCCUCAUUUUCUCCUUGGUUAAUGAUGAACUUUUGUUUUGGAACUUGCUUCUAUAGUUCAUUUCCCGAGAAUCUUAUAAUGUCAUCUCGUCGAUUUGUGUUGCACCCCUCCCUUCUCAGGCAUCAUGAGUUUGAGGUAUCCUGACACCAAUCAGAUAUGAAUCUGGGUUAGAUAUGAUGGUUGGAACAUAUUCCCAAGAGUUAUAACAUUUGUCUUUGACCCAAUAAGGUGAUGUCAUGCCUAGGCACCUGGCCGGGGGACCUAUUGUUAUAGUUUCCUUUUUAGCAAGGUUAGCCUUUCUUCCAUGAGGAAAUUGUAAGACUUAUUCUAUAAGUUGUUCCUGAUGGAUCCUUUGUGUAUCCAUAGUCUGAUCUUUACCCAAUGACCAUGUCAAUGCUGUCUCGAAGCAUGUCUUUGGUACUCCGAUUUUCAAUAAGAACAUUUGAAGCACAAUGCUAAAUUUCUUUAUCAAAUUAUCCAAACAUCGUUGUAUGGGUAAUGUCAUAAAAUUUCUCUCCCCUUUCCUAAAGGGUUUUCUACAAUUAUAUCUUGUCAUGGAUAUCAUGCUCUCCUUGUCCUUGGGAAGGAUAUACCCCUGAAUUAUGUGUUUAAACACAUUUUCCUUUCCAUUAUUCUGUUUAAUCUGAUAAUCAUAUUUUCCUUUCCAUUGUUUGGUUUAACCUUUCUUGUGAUCUACAUGAUCCAAGUAGUAUUAUUCUCCUACUUAUGUAAACACCUAGGUGUACAAUCAUGUCGGUAAGACCCUGUUACUAUUGUUGAUGAUAUUCCGGUAACCACCGAUGGACGAGAACAUUGCCUAUUGGUCCGCCUCGUUCAACGAGCAGGAGAAUGGUUCUGUUCGUCCCUCGCACUUGGUACCGAGGUUGUUGCCGACAUAACUGACGGGCUAUCCUCUGACAUGCCUUGCUUACAUGAUCGUGCUAAUCGUCACCGCCUUCCUACUUUUAACCCACAUGGUGGGCCCAUAGCCCACAGUUCCACAGGAUCGAAACCUGACUCUCCUGUACACCCCCUGUUCCCAAAGUUAUUCCUCGCGCGUGGCCUCGUAUGUAAUUCACGAGCCACCUUCCGAUGAGAUCAUCAACUUUGGUAUCAGACACAAUACUUAUUCCCGUUGCCAUGAACCCCUUUCAUGCCUUGUUUCAGGCACCGAACGAUUGCCUGCCCGCUCGAAACUUCUCAUGAUACCUUCUUACUUUGCUCUCGAUAUUUUCAAAGGUUUCAAUUCGUGAGUUACUUUCCGCCACCUUCCUCGUUGUUAUCUACCAGAUAGUAAACCUUGAAGAGGUCCAUUCUCUCGGAAUACCCCCCUUAUUCUUUCGUAAGUACGACGGAGUUCCCGAAGGAAGGAUGACAACUUCAUCAUGAUGACCUGGAGGAAAGGAACGAAGACAUCAACAUAAUGGAUCGACCUCUUCGAGAAGAGCAACUAAGACCAAGAAGACUCGGUAGAAUUUCGUAACCACAUCUUUCCCCUUACUCCCCUCCUAAAUCUCGGGACGAGAUUUCUUGUAGUGGAGGAGAAUUGUGACGCCCGGAUAAUCAAGCUAAAGUAACCUCUGCUAAUGAUGCCACGUCACCUCGAUUACUGUUGCUAAUCUCGCGUUAGUUCGAAACCGAUACAAAUUCAAAAUUUAAUUAAAGGCAAACAAAAAAAGGUUUUCAAAUAUUGAAACCAAAUUGUUCGGGUUGUGCCAAAUAAUGCAUAAGUAAUUAUGGUGGAGAAACCAAACUUUUAUAAAGUGUUUAACUACUCUAAAAUAAAUAUGACGGUAGCAAAAACAAUUAAUUAAAUACUAAACAGUUUUGUUUUAUCACCAAACUUUUUGUGGCAUUGGGGUAUUUUGAAACACUAAUUUAGGUACUACUUAUAUAUUUUAUAAAACAAAUAUAUAUAUAGAAAAUAAAAUAGAAAAGUAAUAAACAGAAAUAGAUAAAAACCAAAAACUUAAAAAAGAGAGAAGUAAAGACAACACCCCCCAUGGCCAACUGGGCCACGACCCACCAGGCCGGCCCAACCGGCCACCCCCCACUCCCCAUAACCCCCCACUCCACCCGGUCAAACCCUAGCCCACUCUCCACUUCCCCCACGACGCUCUCCCCCUCGCUCUGGAUCUGGAUCGGGAGGAGCCCGAUCCCCUUCGCCCUCGNNNNNNNNNNNNNNNNNNNNNNNNNNNNNNNNNNNNNNNNNNNNNNNNNNNNNNNNNNNNNNNNNNNNNNNNNNNNNNNNNNNNNNNNNNNNNNNNNNNNNNNNNNNNNNNNNNNNNNNNNNNNNNNNNNNNNNNNNNNNNNNNNNNNNNNNNNNNNNNNNNNNNNNNNNNNNNNNNNNNNNNNNNCUGCCCAUACCCUACGACCCGACGUGAGCCUCGCUCCCUCCCCUCUCCCUUGCGCGACCUCGCCUACCCGCGCGUCGUGAGCGCCGCGCCUCGCACCCCCGAGCUCCGCUGCAGCCCCGCCGCUCCUGUCGCGCUCCGCCCCUGGCCUCUCCUCCUCUCGUGCCCGCGCGCACCCCGCGGCCACGCGACGCGCCUGUCUGCCUUCCGCUCGGCCAGCCUGCUCAUUCCCUCCCCCGCUCGCUGCAGCUACUGCUACUGCGCCCCACGGCUGCAUCCGCCGCACCGCGCCACUCGAUGUCGCGCGCGCCCGCGCUCACGCCCUCGCCCCCCUCGCGUUCGCUCCGCUUCGGCCGCCGCACUCCACCCCGCCGGCCUGCGCCCGCUGCUGCCGGAACGCCCUCCCCACCCGUUGAAGCUCCAACGCCGCACUCUCGGGCCGCGCCUGGGAGCCCCUGGCCGCGCGCUGCCUCUCCUGACCAUGCCCGGCCGCGUGCCGCUGCGCCCGUGUCUUCCCCGGCCGCGCACGGUUCUAGCUCCGCCACUCGCCGCCCCGCUCCGGCCUCCCUCGCCGUGCUCCGCCUCCCCACACUGGCUGCUGGCCGCUCGCCGUUGCCCGCAUCGCCGCGCCGGCAUGCCCGGUUCCACACGGGUGCCGGCGCCCAUGCCCGCACGCCCGCGCCCGUAAAACCCGUCGCUCGCGCGCCCGCUAAUCCUUUGGCCCAUUGGCAGCCGGACCCCGCCCCAGCUCCAGAGCGAUUUAAAAAAAGGAUAAAAUAAGUUAAAAUAAACAAAUUAUUAAUUAAUUAAGUUAAUUAAUUCUAUUAAAUUAAACUAAUCAAGUUUGGUUAAACUAAUUAACUACUUAAUCUAACUAAUCUGGAUUAGGACUAAAAGUGAAUGACAUGCGGGUCCCCUGGCCCACUUUGACCUGUCAACUAGGACUGUUGACUGCUGACUCAGCAGUUAACAGGUCCCAUCUGUCAUGCACAAGAACACACUGCUGGGUACACUUCCGUGUACCCAUAGCAGUUUAUGUAUUUAAUAUUAUGAAUUAAAUUAAAUCAGGAUAUUAGAAAGGAUUUAAAACUUUGAAAAAUCAUAUAAAAUAAUCCGUGACUCGGAUGAAAAGUUUUAUACAUGAAAGUUGCUCAGAACGAUGAGACGAAUCUGAAUACGUGGUUCGUUCGUCCGCCACACGUCCCUAGCAUAGCGAACAGGCAAACUUUCCCCCUCCGGUCCGUCCGUCCAAAAACGCGAAACACCAGGGAUACUUUCCCGGAUGUUUCCCCCCUUCGCCGGUAUCACCUCCUACCGCGUUAGGGCACUCCUAGCACCGUUACUUGACAUGUCAUGCAUCGUUAUGCAUCUGUUUGCAUUGUAUUCAUUGUUUCUUCCCCCUCUUCUCUCCGGUAGACUACGAGACUGACGCCGCUGCUGGUGCCCUGAUCGACUACGUUGUCGACGACCCCUCCUUCUCGGCUGAGCUUCCAGGCAAGCCCCCCCUGAUCACCAGAUAUCGCCUAUUGCUUCUCUCUACUGCUUGCAUUAGAGUAGUGUAGUAUGUUACUGCUUUCGGUUAAUCCUAUUCUGAUGCAUAGCCUGUCAUUGUGGCUACAAUUGUUGAUACCUUUACCUGCUAUCCCAAUGCUUAGUAUAGGAUGCUAGUGUUCCAUCAAUGGCCCUACACUCUUGUUCGUCUGCCAUGCUAUAUUACUGGGCCGUGAUCACUUCGGGAGGUGAUCAUGGGCAUAUGCUAUAUACUUUAUACUAUUACAUUACUUAUGAUACUGUUCAGAGACGGGGGCUGAAGGGGCAGGUGGCUCCAUCCCGGUAGAGGUGGGCCUGGGUUCCCGACAGCCCCCGACUGUUACUUUGUGGCGGAGCGACAGGGCAGGUUGAGACCACCUAGGAGAGGGUGGGCCUGGCCCUGGUCGGCGUUCGCGGUUACUUCAUAAUAACACACUUAACGAGAUCUUGGUAUUUGAUCUGAGUUUGGCCACUGGCCUAUAAGCACUAACCAACUACGCGGGAACAGUUAUGGGCACUCGACAUCGUGGUAUCAGCCGAAGCCUUCGUGACGUUAGCGACUGAGCGGCGCGCGCCGGAUUGGACUGGAACGCCUGCUAGGCUAGGUCUGCUUCCGGUCGCCCUCGCAACAUGCAGGUGUGCAAUGGGCGAUGGGCCCAGACCCUUGCGCCAUAGGAUUUAGACCGGCGUGCUGACCUCUCUGUUGUGCCUAGGUAGGGCUGCGACGUGUUGAUCUUCCGAAGCCGGGCAUAUGACCCAGGAAAGUGUGCCGGCCAAAUGGGAUCGAGCGUGUUGGGUUAUGUGGUGCACCCCUGCAGGGAAGUUUAUCUAUUCGAAUAGCCGUGUCCCUCGGUAAAAGGACGACCCGGAGUUGUACCUUGACCUUAUGACAACUAGAACCGGAUACUUAAUAAAACACACCCUUCCAAGUGCCAGAUACCACCCGGUGAUUGCUCUCUCACAGGUCGACGAGGAGAGGGUCGUUGGGUUAGGAUUAUGCUAUGCAAUGAUACUUGGUGAACUUGCCAUCUACUCUCUUCUACAUGCUGCAAGAUGGAGGCCGCCAGAAGCGUAGUCUUCGACAGGAUUAGCUAUCCCCCUCUUAUUCUGGCAUUCUACAGUUCAGUCCACCGAUAUGGCCCUUUACAAAUAUACCCAUGCAUAUGUAGUGUAGAUCCUUGCUUGCGAGUACUUUGGAUGAGUACUCACGGUUGCUUUUCCCCCCUUUUCCCCCUUUCCUUUCUUCCUGGUUGUCGCAACCAGAUGCUGGAGCCCAGGAGCCAGACGCCACCAUCGACGACGACUCCUACUGUUGGGGAUCGUUGCAGAAAUUAAAAAAAUUCUACGCAUCACCAAGAUCAAUUUAUGGAGAGACUAGCAACGAGAGAGAGGGGAGUGCAUCUUCAUACCCUUGAAGAUCCCGAUGCGUAAGCUUUACAAGAACGCGGACGAAGGAGUCAUACUCGUCGCGAUUCAGAUCGCGGUUGAUUUCGAUCUAAGCGCCGAACGACGGCGCCUCCGCGUUCAACACACGUACAGCCCGGGGAUGUCUCCUCCUUCUUGAUCCAGCAAGGGGGAAGGAGAAGUUGAGGGAGAACUCCAGUAGCACGACGACAUGGUGGCGGUGGAGCUCGUGGUUCUCUGGCAGAGCUUCGCUAAGCGCUACGAAGGAGGAGAAGGUGUAGGAAGGGGCGAGGGCUGCGCCAGGAGAAGGGGUGCUGUUGCCCUCCCACCCCCCCCACUAUUUAUAGGGGGAAGGGGAGAGGGGGCCGCCCCCCUAGAUCCAUCUAGAGGGGGAGGCGGCCCCUCGGGGGGGGCAGCGGCCCCCUUAAGGUUUCCAACUGGGGGGGCGCCCGCCCCGGGGAGGGGCAGCGGCCCCCUAGGGUUUCCAACCCUAGGCGCCUUGGGCCCUUGGGGGGCGCACCCGCCCACUAAGGGGAUGGUUCCCACCCAACUACAGCCCAUUAGGUCCUUCGGGGCAGGUGGACCCUCCCGGUGGACCCCCGGAACCCCUUCGGUGGUCCCGGUACAAUACCGAUAAACCCUGAAACCUUUCCGGUGACUGAAACUAGACUUCCCAUAUAUAAAUCUUCACCUCCGAACCAUUCCGGAACUCCUCGUGACGUCCGGGAUCUCAUCCGGGACUCUGAACAACUUUCGGUAACCACAUACAAUUCCCAUUACAACUCUAGCGUCACCGAACCUUAAGUGUGUAGACCCUACGGGUUCGGGCACUAUGCAGACAUGACCGAGACAUCUCUCCGGCCAAUAACCAACAGCGGGAUCUGGAUACCCAUGUUGGCUCCCACAUGUUCCAUGCUGAUCUCAUCGGAUGAACCACGAUGUCAAGGAUUCAAUCAAUCCCGUAUACGAUUCCGUUUGUCUACCGGUAUAGCACUUGCCCGAGAUUCGAUCGUCGGUAUACCGAUACCUUGUUCAAUCUCGUUACGGCAAGUCUCUUUACUCGUUCCUUAACACAUAAUCCGUGACCAACCCCUAAGUCACAUUGAGCUCAUUACGAUGAUGUCUUACCGAUUGGGCCCAGAGAUACCUCUCCAUCAUACGGAGUGACAAAUCCCAGUCUCGAUUCAUGCCAACCCAACAGAUACUUUCGGGGAUACCCGUAGUGUACCUUUAUAGCCACCCAGUUACGUUGUGAUGUUUGGCACACCCAAAUACCCUUACGGUAUCCGUCGUGGAAUUGUCACGGCAGAUGUCCUCGAGCUAGGACUUAGUCGUGGAGCCAUCGCAACUAGAAAGCAUGAAGGGGUUAUGCGGGACAAGGAACACGAGGGUUUAUACUGGUUCGGCCCCUUACGUUGAAGGUAAAAGCCUACGUCCAGUUUGAGGUGAUAUUGAUCAGGGUUACGAUUACCAGGGAGCUAAACAGCUAUGCCCGGCUCUCGAUCAGAUUUCUCUCUCCCCAAACCGCUGCCGGGUCGUCCCUUUAUAUAGGAAGGCUGACGCCCAGCAGCCUUCAGAGUCCCGGCCAGCUUAUAAGAGUGUCCGGCUCGGACUCUAAACUAUACUUGCCUUAUACUACAAGUUCUACUAUAAUAAUGAUUAUAACUACGGGCUUUAAGCCGUAUCCGGGUCUCAGCCCAUCUCUGGCCCAUCGUCUCCGAACUUGGCUCCGGGCUUCGGAUAAUGACCACGCGAGUAACCCGGCCCCUCCUGGCGAGUGACUCUAAGGUCUAUAUCCUCAACAUUAGGCCCCAGAUUGAUUUGAGCCGGCUCACGUCAAUCUUCCACUCUUCCAACAGAAAAAAUCUCCGGCUUACUAUUCACAUGAAGGCCAUAACCCGGAGUGACGUCAUCCUCUGGACUCCGGAUAAUCCGCCGUGACGUCAUCCUCCAUUAAGUCCGUUUUUUACUCCGCCAGAUCCGCAAUGGAUCUUUGCUUUUACUGUCAUUCCGAAAAUCGAGGCGUCGUGGGGGGGGGGGAGAUAACCACGCCGUGGUCUCCUUAAAUCUCGCGCCCACUUAUGAUCUUGCCUUAUAAAUAGGCCGGCCCGACGGGCUCUUUUCACGCUCUCUUCUUCCUCCUCGCGCCGUCGUUCCUCUGCCCGAGCUCUGCUACUGCCGCCGCCGUCGCGCCCCUGGUCUCCGUCAACUUGGCCGCUGCAUCACCCUGAUUCAGACCAGAUAAACGGCGACAACCUUUGCUCUUCUCCAACUCCGGUGAGUCUCUCCUGCCCUGCUAGAACAGAUCUGCGGUAGGGUUCAAAAUAGCUCGUCCAUGUUCUUCGCCAUUGUCCGCAAGCUUCAAUAGUUCUCGUAGUGCUGCCCUUGUUUGAUCUUUAACCUUUUAUAGAACUGGUGCGGUAGUUGUUUAGGCCUCAUUUCAAGUGCCAGUAGAUCUCUUUCCACUGUAUAUACGCUUCGUUCGAGCUCAAGAACAUCCGCUCAUCUGUUUCUAGGUCUAGAAAAUUUUCAUCUCACCCGACCAUUUUGAUCCAAAAAAGUUACUGCAAUAUGGGAAACCUGUUUUACCACACUUAGUAAAAACUGCAACUAUUGAAUCUCGACGGCUUACGACUCCGGGUUAAAGAAACCACACGCUGUAGAAUCCUCCGGUUUAAAGAAAACCAUGCAUUGUAGAUUCCUCCGGCUUAACUGCGAUGAAGCCGUAGACAAUCAAUUUAUUCUGAACACCCCUGCGGCUUAAGCAACCCACUGUACCUGAAUAUAUACCAUUAGUCCCCUUCAUAAGCCGCCACCGUAGCUUUGAACUGUAGAUCUCCGGCUUAUAAUUAACCCGGAUAUGUUUCCUUUUUGUCAUAGACCGCCAACUUUCACCAUGCCUCCCAAGGCUCCCAUCACUUGCAAUUGGAUGAGGUCCAACGUCACCAACGAGACCCUGGCCAAUUUUGUUAAGUCCGGAUAUUUGCCUAAGAAGGAAAUCAUGUCCUACCGUGCCCCUGACCCAUCGGAAGAGAGACCACAGCCAAGGGACGGGGAGGUAGUGAUCUUCGCAGAUCAUAUGAGCCAGGGCUUCGCACCGCCCGGCUCAAAGUUUUUUAGGGAUGUGCUCAACUUCUUCGACUUGCGUCCUCAAGAUAUAGGACCCAACUCCGUAUCCAACAUCUGCAAUUUCCAAGUCUUUUGCGAAGUGUACCUUGGAGAAGAGCCGAGUCUGCUGCUCUUCCGAGAGCUGUUUUACUUAAACCGCCAAAAUGAGUGCGCCAACGGGCCAAGUCUGGAGUUAGGUGGCAUCUCCAUCCAGCGGCAUAGGGACUGUCUUUUCCCUUACGCAGAGCCGCCGAGCCACCCCAAGGACUGGAAUAUGACUUGGUUCUACUGCCAAGAUACAUCCCCGACUGACGAAAACCCGCUGCCCGGCUUUCGCCCCACACGUCUAGAACCGACUCACCCGCUGUCGGACAAGCUGACUGCAGCGGAGCGCCAGCCUCUGCUUCCGACUAUCAAUAAAAUCAAGGCCCUCCCGGGCAAUGGUCUGAACGGAAUCGACCUGGUCCGGGUCUGGAUCUCAUGACGGGUGAUCCCAUUGAGCCGCCGCCCCGGCUUAAUGUGUGAGUACACCAGGCGAAAGGAUGACCCUCAGAGGCACAGUCGCAACGAUCUUCCAGAAGACGUUGCUGAGGAAGAGACCAAGACUCUGUUAAACGAGAGUCUGGCAGACUGUGGAAGGACCGGGUUAGCCCCCUUCUGCAAGACCAACCUAGCCCCAGCGGUAAGCCGCUGUCUUUAAUUUAUUAUCCCUUUCUGUAUAUAACCUUCAUAUGAACCGUUAUAAGAAUUCACCAUUGUAUUUUUCAGGCUGAUGACAAGUUCUGGCGGGUCAAGUAUGACCAUGAGGCGGCCAAGAAGGCCAGGAAGGCGAAGAAAGCCGCCAAGAAAGCCGCCCCUCGCAAAAAGGGAAGCAGACCUACUGCUUCGGAGCUGAUGUAACUAAGUGACAGCUCCGAGUCAGAGGUAACCCCUAAGCCUUUAAAUUCUUGCUGUACUUGUGGUUAGUUGUUGUCCGCCUUAUCAACACUUGCUCAUUGACAGGAUGACACCGGCGCCAGUAACCCGGUGGUUGAAGAGGUAAUGUCACUUUCCUCCGACUCGGAGCCCUUGCCACAGCUGAAAGUCCGAAGGGUAACCCGGAAAGUAAGCUUUUCACAUCCUUUAGCUCAUCGAGACCCUCAAUUUCUUUUGAAGCGACAGGUUCACGAAAGCCGGCGUCACACCCGGACCAACAAGGACACCGAUCUCUCCGCCGGGUUACCCGACGCAACAAGGAAGCGUCGCACUGAGGUUUUUUCGCACUUGUACCCUUUUCAUCCGUUGGCGGGUGUUAUCCGUCAGCCACUCAACUCUUCUGACUCCAAUUAUCAGGAGACCUCCCCCUCUUCGGGUGACUCCAUGCAGUCAAAUCUGCCGGCCUUCAAGACUGCACCCGGGUAACAACAAUCAUCUUACAGUAUCUUUAUCUGUACUUACUCUUUGUGUGCCUAACACUUCUGUCUUUUCAGUGCCCAGGCAAAGCUCUCCAAAAGAGCAAAGAAGACCAGGUCAGCUGGAGUGCCGGACGUACCUGAACCGGAGGUGACGGCUCAAGAGCCGCCAGCUGCCUCCGCCCCCGAAGCUACCACUCCAAUGGACACGGCACCUGAGGCCUCUGCCCCGACUACCAAGGCAACGACCGAAACUUCGGUUAACCCGGAGGCCUCCGGCUCAGCUCCACCAAUAGACGACCCGGACGUGGUAAUCACCCGGACGAAGUUCGUUGAGCCAGGGAGACCAACCGUGUUGGCAAAAUGCUCCGCGAAGGGGGAGUUGCUGCAGCCCCACCGGGUGAACCUGGACCUCUCCAGCUACACCGACUUAAGCAUUGGAGAGCUUGUCUCUGGCUACAUCAGCCAAGUACACAAGAGCCGGGACGCCGAGGUCGCCAUGGUCAACCAGAUCCAACAAAAAUCUGAGGUAUUCCUCUGCUGUUUUCUUACUUACUGCAUAGUUACCUUUGCCAUGCUAGCCCCCAAGUCGACGACUUAUGCUUGAAUAUGUUGUAGACUUAGGUUCCGGCUUACUCAACUAAGCCGGCAGUAUGUAGAUAGAUACGUUCAAUAUGCAUUAGCCCCCAAGUGCCAAGUGUCUUUGCUUGGAAAACGCUUGGGACUUAUAUAAUGACUGUUAAUAACCCGGAAAUAUAUGCAGGCUGUUGGCAAGAAACUAGAGGCGGACCUCGCGGAUCUCAAGAGCCGGCUGAAGAUGCAGGAAAUGGAGACCCGGAAGGCAAACGCCAAGUUUGUAUCCAGCAUCGCCACUCAAGAAAAAUUGAAGACCGAGUUUGAUGCUGAGAGAAAAACCUGGAUCGAAGAGAAAACCGCACUGGUGACCCGGGCUGAACAGGCAGAGAAGGCUCUCGCUGAAAAGACCGCCGAGCUCUCCGGCCUAAAGCGCCAGGUUUCCCAAAUGGUGGCCACUAUCUUCGGUAAGCCGCCUCACCGGCUUUCAUCAAAUUUGUAUAUGUAAUGAAUCAUCCUUGUCACCGGCUUAUCUAAUUCUGUUAAACAGGUCCCAGGAGUGCCAACCUCAACCAAAGCGUGGUCACCAAGUUAAAGGCCGUGUAUACCCUGGUGGAACAGCUCUACACCGGGUCACAGCGUGCCUUAGCUGUGGUGGCCCUAUCCAACGAGGUGCCAACUCAUCUGGCCGAAGUCCUGCGCCGGCUCGCCGUUCUGCCUCAGCGGAUCCAAGAGCUGCAACGGGCCUCCGCGAGAGCCGGAGCAAUCGCCGCGCUGAGCCGGGCCAAGGCUUUCCUACCAGAGCUAGACCCGGCAGACAUCGCCCUGGGUUAUCCAAGCCUGAAGGAAGACGGCUCAGCUUUCGAUCAGAAGGACUUUGCAGCGUGUGUGAAGGCUGUACGCCCAGUGGCCACCCUCAUCGGGAACGACACCGAUCUGACCAAGUACCAGUCGGGUUAUGACGCGGAGAAUCAGAGGAUUCCAACCCCUCGCUAUGAAGCCCUCAACCUGAUCCCGCCGGCUCGUCAGCACACCUUCGCCCCGGAGAUUGACCCGGCCGGGUUAAUUGACGAAGAAGCCCAAUUCGAAGCUCUCAGCGGCAUCAACUGGAAGUCAUCAACCUUCGAGAUCUUGGGAUCAGCCAGAGGAGAAGAUAGGAAUGAGCCGGGGACUUCAACUCAGCGAGCAUCAUAAGUUGGCCAGCGGUUUAUCAAACAAUGUUCCACCUUUUAGACUUGAAGAGUUAUUGUAAUAGAGUAGGUGCAACAGUUCAUCUCUGCCAUGCCAUCGUGCACGUGCUGAAUGCCAAGGUCUUUUGAAGUUGUCUCCUUAAUAUUUCUCCGGGUCAUAAUCAUCCCUUUGUUUUUCUCAACCUUAAAGAGGUACCUUUAAGUAUCCUGCAUAAAAAGGCAAAUCACAAGUCUCAAGGCGGCUUACCGCCCGGAGAAUCAGGUGUCUUGGAUAGAUAACCCGGAAUAUGAAUCAAAAGAGACCGGUCCCCAAUUAUCUGCUUGACAUAGCCGUAAUAACACUUAGCAGCCAGUAAGCAUACUUCCGGUUUAAAUAACCCGGGCAACAGGGUUGGUAUCUUAACUCCGCCUUACCGGUCAUAAUGACACCCAUGGCGUUCAAUGAACACUGUAAACCAAAGUUAAGCCGGUAAAGUGAGACCCGGCCGUACACACCGUGACAUGAUCAGAGCAAACUUGUGAUAAAGCAGAGGGACUUUAGGGGCUUCCGGUUCGAAUACGACCAGAGACCCGGCCCAAAGGGGUUAAGCCAAGAUUCGAAUACGAUCAUAUAGCCCCCAGCGGGUGUGGCGAUGCCAAUCAAGAGGGUAUCGACAGCUAUGUUCUCUUUGGUUUGAAUACGACCCAUGUUUGAACAGGAAGCCCCCAAGUGAUUCUUAAAAUUGUUUAACGACACUGAUUCGGAUACGAUCCACGUCGGUUCUCAGAGGGGUUAAGCUAUGAUUCAAAUAUGACCAAAGGUAACCUCCUAAUGAGCUCGGCACUUUGCCAAUCAAAUGGGUAUCGACAGCUAUGUUCUCUUUGGUUCGAAUACGACCCAUGUUUGAACAGGAAGCCCCCAAGUGACUUUACUGCUGACGACUAGAUUCGAAUACGAUCAUAAGCCGGAUCCUCCUUUAAACCAUCAUGUAAUCUUUGUAAUAAAAACACCACGCGCAUAUUUGGAGGAGAAAAAAGGACAGCGGUCCUGCUUUAUUGCUUAUCAUAUUAUAUACAUGGCUGAGACAAAUAUGUACACCACGAGAGCCGGUAGCUCAAGUGUAGUAAGGUCGAAGCUGAGCUAUGUUCCACGGCCGACGGGUCUCUUCCUCAGACUUUCGUGAAUCUUUAUGCUCCCGAAUAUCAAUGAGGUAAUAUGACCCGUUGUGCAAGUUCUUGCUGACCACAAAGGGCCCUUCCCAAGGUGGGGAUAACUUGUGUGCAUCUGUUUGAUCCUGGAUGAGCUGGAGCACAAGGUCGCCUUCCUGGAAGACCCGGGAUUUGACCCGGCGGCUAUGAUAUCGGCGCAUGUCUUGUUGGUAAAUCGCUGACCGGGCUGCUGCCACAUCACGCUGCUCAUCCAACAAGUCAAGAGCAUCCUGGCGCGCCUGUUCAUUAUCCGUCUCAACAUAAGCCGCCACGCGAGGUGAGUCGUGACGAAUGUCGCUGGGGAGGACUGCUUCUGCUCCAUAGACCAUGAAGAAAGGCGUGAAGCCUGUAGAUCUGUUAGGAGUAGUAUUGAUGCUCCAUAAGACGGAGGGCAACUCCUCCACCCAACAACCCGGCGUCCGUUGCAAAGGGACCAAAAGCCGGGGCUUGAUACCCUUCAGAAUUUCCUGGUUAGCUCUCUCAGCUUGACCAUUGGAUUGAGGAUGAGCCACUGAAGAAACAUCAAGUCGGAUAUGCUCUCGUUGACAAAACUCUUCCAUGGCACCUUUGGAAAGAUUGGUGCCAUUGUCAGUUAUAAUGUUGUGCGGAAAGCCAAAACGGAAAAUCACCUUUUUCAUAAAUUGAACCGCCGUGGCUGCAUCGCACUUGCUAACUGGCUCAGCUUCCACCCACUUGGUGAAUUUGUCAACUGCCACCAAGAGGUGGGUCUUCUUAUCCUUGGACCGUUUAAAAGGCCCAACCAUAUCAAGCCCCCAGACCGCAAAGGGCCAAGUGAUUGGGAUCAUCCUCAACUCCAGAGCCGGCACAUGAGCCCGUCGUGAGAACCUUUGGCAACCAUCACACUUACUGACCAAGUCCUCUACAUCAGCAUGAGCCGUCAGCCAAUAAAAACCAUGACGGAAAGCCUUAGCCACAAGGGAUUUUGAACCCGCAUGAUGGCCACAAUCCCCUUCAUGGAUCUCACGCAAGAUCUCUUGACCUUCCUCAGGGAGAUACAACGUUGAAAUGCCCCUGAAACACUGCGAUGAUGUAACUCGCCAUCGAUGACGAUCAUUGACUUAGCCCUGAAAGUGCCCGGCAAUGGCAUCAACCUCGCGGCGAUAAGCCGCCAUGAGAGGAUCCUUAGAAUCCCACGUGCCUGAUACUUGUUGAGCCACCAAGUCUGAGUCACCAAAGCACCUUACCCGGCUUAAGCUCAUCUCCUUAGCCACCCGAAGACCGUGGAGCAAAGCCUCGUAUUCAGCCGCAUUGUUAGUGCAAGGAAACAUCAACUGUAGCACAUAAUGGAACUUGUCCCCCUUAGGGGAAGCCAAUACAACGCCAGCCCCCGAGCCCUCCAACUGCCUGGACCCGUCAAAGUGAAUAGUCCAAUAUGUGUUAUCCGGCUUCUGCUCGGGCACUUGUGAUUCCGUCCAAUCGUUGAUGAAAUCCACCAAGGCCUGAGAUUUAACAGCAGUGCGUGGCACAUAUUUGAGGCCAUGAGGUCCAAGUUCUAUAGCCCACUUAGCAAUCCUCCCUGUGGCCUCUCUGUUUUGAAUAAUAUCACCAAGAGGGGCAGAACUGACCACAGUGAUGGGAUGACCCUGAAAAUAAUGCUUAAGCUUCCGGCUCGCCAUGAACACACCAUACACCAGCUUCUGCCAAUGCGGGUACCGCUGCUUGGACUCAAUGAGCACUUCACUGACAUAAUAAACCGGCCGCUGAACCGGAUGCUCCUUAUCCUCCUCCUUGCGUUCCACCACAAUAGCCACACUGACGGCUCGUGUGUUUGCCGCCACAUACAGUAGCAAGGGCUCCUUAUCAACCGGAGCAGCAAGGACUGGGGGCUCUGCCAGCUGCUUCUUUAAAUCCUCAAAGGCGGUAUUAGCUGCAUCAUUCCAGACAAAGGUAUCAGUUUUCUUCAUUAACUGAUAUAGGGGCAUGGCCUUCUCACCCAAACGGCUUAUAAAUCGGCUUAAAGCAGCGAUGCGACCCGCCAAGCGCUGAACGUCAUUUAUACAUGCCGGCUUAGCCAAGGAGGUGAUGGCCUUGAUCUUCUCCGGGUUAGCCUCAAUGCCUCUGUCAGAAACCAAGAAGCCCAAGAGUUUGCCUGCAGGAACACCAAAGACACACUUGGCCGGGUUAAGCAUCAUCUUAUAGACCCGGAGAUUAUCAAAGGUUUCCCUUACAUCAUCUAUCAGGGUUUCCUCUUUGAUGGAUUUAACCACAAUGUCGUCCACAUAAGCGUGAACAUUGCGCCCAAUCUGCUUAUGAAGACAGUUCUGUACACAACGCUGGUAAGUCGCCUGUGCACACUUGAGUCCAAAGGGCAUAGACACAUAGCAGAAGGCUCCAAAGGGAGUAAUAAACGCCAUCUUCUCCUGGUCCUUAACUGCCAUUUUGAUCUGAUGAUAACCAGAAUAAGCACCCAAGAAACUUAAACAUGCACAACCUGCCGUAGCAUCAAUGAUUUGAUCAAUACGGGGGAGGGCAAAAGGAUCAGCCGGACACGCCUUGUUCAAGUCCGUGUAGUCCACACACAUCCGCCAGGUGCCGUUCUUCUUGAGUACAAGCACCGGGUUAGCCAACCACUCUGGGUGAAGAACUUCACCGAUAAACCCGGCCACCAAGAGCCGGGCUACUUCUUCACCAAUAGCUUUCCGUCUUUCCUCAUUAAACCGCUGAAGGAAUUGUCUGACCGGUUUAAAUUUCGGAUCAACAUUGAGAGUAUGCUCAGCGAGUUCUCUAGGUACACCUGGCAUGUCAGAAGGUUUCCAUGCGAAGAUGUCCCUAUUCUCACGGAUGAACUCGAUGAGCGCGUUUUCCUAUUUUGGGUCCAGAUUGGCACUGAUGCUAAACUGCUGAGAUGAAUCUCCUGGAACAAAAUCAACAAGCUUAGUUUCAUCAGCCGACUUAAAUUUCAUCGCCGGCUCGUUCUCCGUCGUCGGCUUUUUCAGAGAGGUCAUAUCUAUUGGGUCAACAUUGUCCUUGUAAAACUUCAACUCCUCCGUAGCACAAACAGAUUCUGCAUAAGCCGCAUCACCUUCCUCACACUCCAGAGCCACUUUCCGGCUGCCGUGAACCAUAAUGGUCCCGUUGUGACCCGGCAUCUUGAGCUGUAAAUACACAUAACAUGGCCGUGCCAUGAACUUGGCAUAAGCCGGCCGUCCAAAUAUAGCAUGGUAUGGACUUCUUAUCUUGACCACUUCAAAGGUCAAUUUCUCCACCCUGUAGUUAUUCUCAUCACCAAAAGCCACUUCCAAUUCGAUCUUGCCAACUGGAUAAGCCGACUUACCAGGUACUACACCAUGAAAGAUAGUGUUGGACUGGCUGAGGUUCUUAUCAACCAACCCCAUACGACGAAAAGUCUCAUAAUAGAGGAUGUUGAUGCUGCUGCCUCCAUCCAUGAGCACCUUUGUGAACUUAUAUCCUCACACUUGAGGAGCCACCACUAAGGCCAAGUGGCCCGGGUUAUCCACCCGAGGAGGGUGAUCCUCCCUACUCCACACUAUGGGCUGCUCAGACCAUCGUAAGUAGCGUGGGACUGCCGGCUCAACAGCAUUCACAGCCCUCUUGUGAAGCUUCUGGUCUCGCUUGCACAGACUAGUGGUAAAUACAUGAUACUGUCCACCGCUUAGCUGCUUUGGAUUGGUCUGAUAACCCCCCUGCUGCUGUUGAUGACCCUGGCCAGCCUGUUGAUUAAAGCCCCCUUGACCAUUCUGAGGACCGGAAUUUGAGCCGCCGCCCGGGCCAUGAAAACCGCCAGCACCUGAGCCGCCGCCCGGGCCAUUGUAAUUCUUAAAGGCCUUCAUGAUCGCGCAAUCCUUCCACAGAUGAGUCGCUGGCUUUUCUCUAGAACCGUGCCUUGGACAAGGUUCAUUUAACAGCUGCUCCAGCGUUGGACCUGACCCGCCGCCUCGGGGAGGGGGCCUCCCCUUGCGUCGCUGGUUAUUACCUUGGGAGUUGGCAUUGGCUACAAACUCUAGGCUGCCAUCGGCCUUGCGCUUGCCUCCUCCUUGGAUCCCCGGGUUAAACUGAGGACCCUUGCCAUUGCCGUUCUUCUUUCCCUUCCCUGUCCUUUCAUCAUCUGAAGGGGGAUCCUUGGUACCAUCGGAAUCGGCGUACUUGACAAGAGCCGCCAUUAGUGUACCCAUAUCGGUGCAGUCGUGUUUGAGCCGCCCGAGUUUCAUCUUUAGGGGCACAAAGCGACAGUUUUGUUCCAACAUUAAGACUGCAGAGCCGGCAUCCAUCUUAUCUGAUGAAUGUAUGAUCUCCUUGACCCGGCGAACCCAAUGGGUCGUGGACUCACCCUCCUGCUGCUUACAGUUAGUCAAAUCCACGAUUGACAUAGACUGCCUACAGGUAUCUUUGAAGUUUUGGAUGAACCGGGCUUUCAGCUCGGCCCAAGACCCAAUGGAAUUCGGUGGUAGCCCUUUCAACCAUGUGCGGGCAGUUCCAUCUAACAUCAUGGUGAAAUACUUGGCCAUGGCCGCCUCACUGACCUCCAGCAAUUCCAUAGCCAUCUCAUAACUCUCAAUCCAGGCCGCAGGCUGUAAGUCAGCUGUGUAGUUAGGCACCUUCCUAGGGCCUUUGAAGUCUUUAGGUAGACGUUCAUUACGGAUAGCUGGCACCAAACAAGGGACACCCCCGGUCCUGGUAGGGAUACCCACAUCAACGGAAGUCGUGGGAUAAGCCGGGGGGGUCUGGUAAGCCGUCAAUGGAGGCACUUGCUCCGCCUCUUGCCGCGCUUGGUCCGCUGUGUAAAAGGCUCCAUUAUGAGCCGGGCCAUGGACAGGGGGUGGGUCAUGGCGUCGGACGUUACUUGAGCCGGUUGCUGAGACCAUGUACCGGUUGUAACUCGGGCUCUGGCCUGGACGAGGGGUCGAGUGGAUCCUGUCCCAGCUGUAAGAGUAUGCCUCUUGCUGCGCCAGUGCUGUCUGAAGGAGUUCCCUGACCCGGCGGGUCUCAAUAGCCGUCGGAGAGUCGCCGUCAACGGGGAGGGCCGCCAGCCGUGCUGCCGCAGCGACCAUGUUCUCCAGUGGGUUAUUAUAAUGACCCGGGGGUAUUGGCACAUGCUGAGGCGGGGCAGGGGGCACCUGGGGAGGCCCCAUCACCCAUGGCUGAAUAAGGGGUCCAGACCCGGGUGCUAUGACCCCUGGCGGGUUACUAGACCCUGCACCCGGCGUGUUGAAGAGGUUGCGUGGAUCGUAAACCGGCGGGAGUCGGGACUGGGCCUUUUGAUGCCUCCUUCUCAUGACCUCAUUGGCCGCGUUCUGAUCCAUCGUGAGUUGGAAGGACUGCGCCUGAAUCAGCUGAGUCUGGGCAUCGAUAGCCGCCCGCUCUGCAGCCAGCCUGAUUCCUUCCGCUGCAAGAUCCUCUUUAGCCUUUAUCAGAUCCAAUUUCAACUGUGCCACCUCCGCAUCAUGCUGGGCUUGAUCCGCCGGGUCAACCGUGGCGGUUAACAGGGCCGUCAUCUUGUCCCGUGAGAUCCAUCAGCACCUGAGCCGGAGAAGGCACCGGGUUUCCCGAUCCGGCAGCGGGGUUCUGAACAAGCUGUGCACCAGCCAUAAAAACUCCAACCUGACUUGGCGGCUCAAAAAGGUCCAGAAUACCGUCGCCAUUGGAACAACCCAUGAGCCUGCCAUCUUGAAGUUGGUACAACGAGCUUGACUCAUCGGUGGCCGACUCGCCGUCAGAGCCGGCGGCCGCCUCAUCACCGGACCCCGAUGGCUCAGAGGGCCCUCCAUGGAUGCAUCCCACAAAGGCGCGCCUUAAGGCAGGCCGGGCCCGGGCGGGUCGUGCGCGCUGAGCCGUUUCGAUGAGAUCGGCACAGAGACCCGACUCGGGGCCCGGCUCACCGAUUUCGCCAAUGAAAACAUGAAUUCCGCCGAAGGGGACCCGGUACCCGUACACAAUUGAGCCGGCGUCGGGGCCCCAGUUUAUAUCGUCGAUGUAGAGCCUGUCGCGACGACUCUUGGUCAUCCGGCCCACAGCGUAUCCCUUGAGCCCUUCGAAGCUGCCCUUCAAGAACUCAAAUCCACCGUGCGCUGGCCCCAUGGUGGGCGCCAACUGUCGUGGAAUUGUCACGGCAGAUGUCCUCGAGCAGGACUUAGUCGUGGAGCCAUCGCAACUAGAAAGCUUGAAGGGGUUAUGCGGGACAAGGAACACGAGGGUUUAUACUGGUUCGGCCCCUUACGUUGAAGGUAAAAGCCUACGUCCAGUUUGAGGUGAUAUUGAUCAGGGUUACGAUUACCAGGGAGCUAAACAGCUAUGCCCGGCUCUCGAUCAGAUUUCUCUCUCCCCAAACCGCUGCCUGGUCGUCCCUUUAUAUAGGGAGGCUGACGCCCAGCAGCCUUCAGAGUCCCGGCCAGCUUAUAAGAGUGUCCGGCUCGGACUCUAAACUAUACUUGCCUUAUACUACAAGUUCUACUAUAAUAAUGAUUAUAACUACGGGCUUUAAGCCGUAUCCGGGUCUCAGUCCAUCUCUGGCCCAUCGUCUUCGAACUUGGCUCCGGGCUUCGGAUAAUGACCACGCGAGUAACCCGGCCCCUCCUGGCGGGUGACUCUAAGGUCUAUAACCUCAACAGUAUCCGGGAGUUGCACAAUCUCAUGGUCUAAGGAAAAGAUACUUGACAUUAGAAAAGCUUUAGCAGACGAACUACACGAUCUUGUGCUAUGCUUAGGACUGGGUCUUGUCCAUCACAUCAUUAUCCUAAUGAUGUGAUCCCGUUAUCAAUGACAUCCUAUGUUCAUGGUUAGGAAACCGUAACCAUCUAUUGAUCAACGAGCUAGUCAACUAGAGGCUCACUAGGGACAUGUUGUGGUCUAUGUAUUCACACAUGUAUUACGAUUUUCGGAUAACACAAUUAUAGCAUGAACAAUAGACAAUUAUCAUGAACAAGGAAAUAUAAUAAUAACCAUUUUAUUAUUGCCUCUAGGGCAUAUUUCCAACAGUCUCCCACUUGCACUAGAGUCAAUAACCUAGUUACAUUGUGAUGAAUCGAACACCCAUAGAGUUCUGGUGUUGAUCAUGCUUUGCACGUGGAAGAGGUUUAGUCAACGGAUCUGCGACAUUCAGGUCCGUAUGCACUUUACAAAUCUCUAUGUCUCCAUCUUGAACAUUUUCACGAAUGGAGUUGAAGCGACGCUUGAUAUGCCUGGUCUUCUUGUGAAACCUGCGCUCCUUGGCAAGGGCAAUAGCUCCAGUGUUGUCACAGAAGAGAGUCAUCGGGCCCGACUCAUUGGGAAUAACUCCUAGGUCGGUAAUGAACUCCUUCAUCCAGAUUGCUUCAUGUGCUACCUCCGAGGCUGCCAUGUACUCCGCUUCACAUGUAGAUCCCGCCACGACGCUUUGCUUGCAACUACACCAGCUGACUGCCCCACCAUUCAAAAUAUACACGUAUCCGGUUUGUGACUUGGAGUCAUCCAGAUCUGUGUCGAAACUAGCAUCGACGUAACCCUUUACGACGAGCUCUUCGUCACCUCCAUAAACGAGAAACAUAUCCUUAGUCCUUUUCACGUACUUCAGGAUAUUCUUGACUGAUGUCCAGUGUUCCAUGCCGGGAUUACUUUGGUACCUUCCUACCAAACUUACGGCAAGGUUUACAUCAGGUCUGGUACACAGCAUGGCAUACAUAAUAGACCCUAUGGCCGAGGCAUAGGGGAUGACCCUCAUCUUUUCUCUAUCUUCUGCCGUGGUCGGGCAUUGAGCCGUGCUCAAUCUCACACCUUGCAAUACAGGCAAGAACCCCUUCUUGGACUGAUCCAUAUUGAACUUCUUCAAUAUCUUGUCAAGGUACGUGCUUUGUGAAAGACCAAUGAGGCGUCUCGAUCUAUCUCUAUAGAUCGUGAUGCCUAAUAUGUAAGCAGCUUCUCCAAGGUCCUUCAUUGAAAAACACUUAUUCAAGUAGGCCUUUAUGCUUUUCAAGAGUUCUAUAUCAUUUCCCAUCAAUAGUAUGUCAUCCACAUAUAAUAUGAGAAAUGCUACAGAGCUCCCACUCACUUUCUUGUAAACACAGGCUUCUCCAUAAAUCUGCGUAAACCCAAACACUUUGAUCAUCUCAUCAAAACGAAUGUUCCAACUCCGAGAUGCUUGCACCAGCCCAUAGAUCAAGCGUUGGAGCUUGCAUACCUUGUCAGCAUUCUUAGGAUCGACAAAACCUUCCGGCUGCAUCAUAUAUAAUUCUUCCUUAAGGAAACCAUUAAGGAAUGCUGUUUUGACGUCCAUUUGCCAUAUCUCAUAAUCAUAUAAUGCGGCAAUUUCUAACAUGAUUCAGACAGACUUCAGCUUCACUAUGGGUGAGAAGGUCUCAUCAUAGUCAACCCCUUGAACUUGUCGAUAACCCUUAGCGACAAGCCGAGCCUUAUAGAUGGUUACAUUACCAUCCGCGUAUGUCUUCUUCUUAAAGAUCCAUUUAUUUUCUAUGGCUCGCCAAUCAUCGGGCAAGUCAGUCAAAGUCCAUACUUCAUUUCAUACAUGGAUCCUAUCUCGGAUUUCAUGGCUUCAAGCCAUUUGUCAAAAUUCGGGCCCGCCAUCGCUUCUUCAUAGUUCGAAGGUUCACCAUUGUCUAACAACAUGAUUUCCAGGACAGGGUUGCCGUACCACUCUGGUGCGGAACGUGUCCUUGUGGACCUAUGAAGUUCAGUAGCAACUUGAUCUGAAGUUUCAUGAUCAUCAUCAUUAACUUCCUCUCUAGUCGGUGCAGGCACCACAAAAACAUUUUCUUGAGCUGCGCUACUCUCCGGUUCAAGAGGCAAUACUUCAUCAAGUUCUACUUUCCUCCGACUUACUUCUUUCGAGAGAAACUCUUUCUCUAGAAAGGAUCCAUUCUUGGCAACAAAGAUCUUGCCUUCGGAUCUGAGGUAGAAGGUAUACCCAAUAGUUUCCUUAGGGUAUCCUAUGAAGACACAUUUUUCCGAUUUGGGUUCGAGCUUUUUAGGUUGAAGUUUCUUGACAUAAGAAUCGCAUCCCCAAACUUUCAGAAACGACAGCUUAGGUUUCUUCCCAAACCACAAUUCAUACGGUGUCGUCUCAACGGAUUUCGACGGAGCCCUAUUUAAAGUGAAUGCGGCAGUCUCUAUAGCAUAACCCCAAAAUGAUAGCGGUAGAUCGGUAAGAGUCAUAGAUCGCACCAUAUCCAAUAGAGUGCGAUUAUGACGUUUGGACACACCAUUACGCUGAGGUGUUCCAGGCGGCCUGAGUUGUGAAACAAUUCCACAUUUCCUUAAGUGCGUGCCAAAUUCGUGACUCAAAUAUUCUCCCCCACGAUCUGAUCAUAAGAACUUGAUUUUCCUGUCACGUUGAUUCUCAACCUCACUCUGAAAUUCCUUGAACUUUUCAAAGGUCUCAGACUUGUGUUUCAUUAAGUAGACAUACCCAUAUCUACUUAAGUCAUCCGUGAGGGUGAGAUCAUAGCGAUAACCACCGCGAGCCUCAACACUCAUUGGACCGCACACAUCAGUAUGUAUGAUUUCCAAUAAGUUGGUUGCUCGCUCCAUUGUUUCGGAGAACGGAGUCUUGGUCAUUUUGCCCAUGAGGCAUGGUUCGCACGUGUCAAAUGAUUCAUAAUCAAGAGACUCCAAAAGUCCAUCUGCAUGGAGUUUCUUCAUGCGUUUGACACCAAUGUGACCAAGGCGGAGUGCCACAAGUAUGUGGGACUAUCAUUAUCAACCUUACAUCUUUUGGCAUUCACACUAUGAAUAUGUGUAACAUCACGUUCGAGAUUAAAUAAGAAUAAAACAUUGACCAGCGGGGCAUGACCAUAAAACAUGUCUCUCAUAUAAAUAGAACAACCAUUAUUCUCAGAUUUAAAUGAGUAGCCAUCUCGCAUUAAACGAGAUCCAGAUACAAUGUUCAUGCUCAAAGCUGGUACUAAAUAACAAUUAUUGAGGUUUAAAACUAAUCCCGUAGGUAGAUGUAGAGGUAGCAUGCCGACGGCGAUCACAUCGACCUUGGAACCCUUCCCGACGCGCAUCGUCACCCCGUCCUUCGCCAGUCUCCGCUUAUUCCGCAGCUCCUGUUUUGAGUUACAAAUAUGAGCAACCGCACCGGUAUUAAAUACCCAGGAGCUACUACAAGCGCUGGUUAGGUACACAUCAAUAACAUGUAUAUCACAUAUACCUUUGGUAUUGCCGGCCUUCUUAUCCGCUAAGUACUUGGGGCAGUUUCGCUUCCAGUGACCGUUUCCCUUGCAAUAAAAGCACUCAGUCUCAGGCUUGGGUCCAUGCUUUGGCUUCUUCCCAGCAACUAGCUUACCGGGCGCGGCAACUCCCUUGCCGUCCUUCUUGAAUUUCUUCUUACCCUUGCCUUUCUUGAACUUAGUGGUUUUAUCCACCAUCAACACUUGAUGUUCCUUUUUGAUCUCCACCUCCGCUGAUUUCAGCAUUGAAUAUACCUCAGGAAUGGUCUUUUCCAUCCCCUGCAUAUUGAAGUUCAUCACAAAGCUCUUGUAGCUAGGUGGGAGCGACUGAAGGAUUCUGUCAACGACCGCAUCAUCCGGGAGAUUAACUCCCAGCUGAGAUAAGCGGUUGUGCAACCCAGACAUUUUGAGUAUGUGCUCGCUGACAGAACUAUUCUCCUCCAUCUUACAACUGUAGAACUUGUCAGAGACUUCAUAUCUCUCGACCCGGGCAUGAGCUUGGAAAACAAUUUUCAGCUCUUGGAACAUCUCAUAUGCUUCGUGCUGCUCAAAACGCUUUUGGAGCUCCGGUUCUAAGCUGUAAAGCAUGCCGCACUGAACCAGGGAGUAAUUAUCACUACGCGACUGCCAGGCGUUCAUAACGUCUUGAGUUGCUGGAAAAACAGGUGCAUCACCUAGCGGUGCUUCAAGGACAUAUGCUUUCUUGGCAUCUAUGAGGAUAAUCCUCAGGUUACGGACCCAGUCUGUGUAGUUGCUACCAUCGUCUUUCAGCUUGGUUUUCUCUAGGAACGAGUUGAAGUUGAGGGCAACAUUAGCGUGGGCCAUUUGAUCUACAAGACAUAUUGCAAAGUUUUAGACUGUGUUCAUGAUAAUUAAGUUCAUCUAAUCAAAUUAUUUAAUGAAAUCCCACUCAGAUAGACAUCCCUCUAGUCAUCUAAGUGAUACAUGAUCCGAGUCAACUAGGCCGUGUCCGAUCAUCACGUGAGACGGACUAGUCAUCAUCGGUGAACAUCUUCAUGUUGAUCGUAUCUUCUAUACGACUCAUGUUCGAUCUUUUGGUCUUCCGUGUUCCGAGGCCAUGUCUGUACAUGCUAGGCUCGUCAAGUCAACCUAAGUGUAUUGCAUAUGUAAAUCUAGCUUACACCCGUUGUAUGCGAACGUUAGAACCUAUCACACCCGAUCAUCACGUGGUGCUUCGGAACAACGGACCUUAGCAACGGUGCACAGAUAGGGGGAACACAAUUCUUGAUAUUUUAAUGAGGGGUCAUCUUAUUUAUGCUACCGUCGUUCUAAGCAAAUAAGAUGUAAAAACAUGAUAAACAUCACAUGCAAUCAAAUAGUGACAUGAUAUGGCCAAUAUCAUUUUGCUCCUUUUGAUCUCCAUCUUCGGGGCGCCAUGAUCAUCAUCGUCACCGGCAUGACACCAUGAUCUCCAUCAUCGUGUCUUCAUGAAGUUGUCUCGUAAACUAUUACUUCUACUACUAUGGCUAACGGUUUAGUAAUAAAGUAAAGUAAUUACAUGACGUUUAUGUUGACAGACAUGUCAUAAAUAAAUUAAGACAACUCCUAUGGCUCCUGCCGGUUGUCAUACUCAUCGACAUGCAAGUCGUGAUUCCUAUUACAAGAACAUGAUCAAUCUCAUACAUCACAUAUAUCAGUCAUCACAUCCUUUUGGCCAUAUCACAUCACACGACAUAUGCUGCAAAAACAAGUUAGACGUCCUCUAAUUGUUGUUGCAAAUUUUUACGUGGCUGCUACAGGUUUCUUAGCAAGAACGUUUCUUACCUACGCCAAAACCACAACGUGAUAUGCCAAUUUCUAUUUACCCUUCAUAAGGACCCUUUUCAUCGAAUCCGAUCCGACUAAAGUGGGAGAGACAGUCACCCGCUAGCCACCUUAUGCAACUAGUGCAUGUCAGUUGGUGGAACCUGUCUCACGUAAGUGUACGUGUAAGGUCGGUCCGGGCCGCUUCAUCCCACGAUGCCGCCGAAUCAAGAUAAGACUAGUAACGGCAAGUAAAUUGACAAAAUCGACGCCCACAACAACUUGUGUUCUACUCGUGCAUAGAAACUACGCAUAGACCUAGCUCAUGAUGCCACUGUUGGGGAUCAUUGCAGAAAUUAAAAAAAUUCUACGCAUCACCAAGAUCAUUCUAUGGAGAGACUAGCAACGAGAGAGAGGGGAGUGCAUCUUCAUACCCUUGAAGAUCGCGAUGCGGAAGCGUUACAAGAACGCGGAUGAAGGAGUCGUACUCGUAGCGAUUCAGAUCGCGGUUGAUUCCGAUCUAAGCGUCGAACGAUGGCGCCUCCACGUUCAAAACACGUACAGCCCGGGGAUGUCUCCUCCUUCUUGAUCCAGCAAGGGGGGAGGAGAAGUUGAGGGAGAGCUCCGGCAGCACGACGGCGUGGUGGCGGUGGAGCUCGUGGUUCUCCGGCAGAGCUUCGCUAAGCGCUACGGAGGAGGAGAAGGUGUAGGAAGGGGGGAGGGCUGCGCCAGGAGAAGGGGUGCGGUUGCCCUCCCACCCCCCCACUAUUUAUAGGGGAUUGGGAGAGGGGGGCGGCCCCCUAGAUGCAUCUAGAGGGGGGCGGCGGCCCCUCGGGGGGGGGGGGGCAGCGGCCCCCUUAGGGUUUCCAACUAGGGGGGGCAGCGGCCCCCUAGGGUUUGCAGCCCUAGGCGCCUUGGACCCUUGGGGGGCGCACCAGCCCACUAAGGGGCUGGUUCCCACCCAACUACAGCCCAUUAGGUCCUUCGGGGCAGGUGGACCCUCCCGGUGGACCCCCGGAACCCCUUCGAUGGUCCCGGUACAAUACCGAUAAACCCCGAAACCUUUCCGGUGACUGAAACUGGACUUCCCAUAUAUAAAUCUUCACCUCCAGACCAUUCCGGAACUCCUCGUGACGUCCGGGAUCUCAUCCGGGACUCCGAACAACUUUCGGUAACCACAUACAAUUCCCAUUACAACUCUAGCGUCACCAAACCUUAAGUGUGUAGACCCUACGGGUUCGGGAACUAUGCAGACAUGACCGACACAUCUCUCCGGCCAAUAACCAACAGCGGGAUCUGGAUACCCAUGUUGGCUCCCACAUGUUCCACGAUGAUCUCAUCAGAUGAACCACGAUGUCAAGGAUUUAAUCAAUCCCGUAUACGAUUCCCUUUGUCUACCGGUAUAGCACUUGCCCGAGAUUCGAUCGUCGGUAUACCGAUACCUUGUUCAAUCUCGUUACGGCAAGUCUCUUUACUCGUUCCGUAACACAUCAUCCCGUGACCAAUCCCUUAGUCACAUUGAGCUCAUUACGAUGAUGUCUUGCCGAGUGGGCACAGAGAUACCUCUCCAUCAUACUGAGUGACAAAUCCCAGUCUCGAUUCGUGCCAACCCAACAGAUACUUUCGGGGAUACCCGUAGUGUACCUUUAUAGCCACCCAGUUACGUUGUGACAUUUGGCACACCCAAAGUACCCUUACGGUAUCCGGGAGUUGCACAAUCUCAUGGUCUAAGGAAAAGAUACUUGACAUUAGAAAAGCUUUAGCAGACGAACUACACGAUCUUGUGCUAUGCUUAGGAUUGGGUCUUGUCCAUCACAUCAUUAUCCUAAUGAUGUGAUCCCGUUAUCAAUGACAUCCUAUGUCCAUGGUUAGGAAACCGUAACCAUCUAUUGAUCAAUGAGCUAGUCAACUAGAGGCUCACUAGGGACAUGUUGUGGUCUAUGUAUUCACACAUGUAUUACGAUUUCCGGAUAACACAAUUAUAGCAUGAACAAUAGACAAUUAUCAUGAACAAGGAAAUAUAAUAAUAACCAUUUUAUUAUUGCCUCUAGGGCAUAUUUCCAACACCUACUACACCGGAGGUGCCUACUACUACGUGCAGGCCGCUGACGACGACCAGGAGUAGUUUAGGAGGAUCCCAGGCAGGAGGCCUGCGCCUCUUUCGAUUUGUAUCCCAGUUUGUGCUAGCCAUCUUAUGGCAACUUGUUUAACUUAUGUCUGUACUCAGAUAUUGUUGCUUCCGCUGACUCGUCUAUGAUCGAGCACUUGUAUUUGAGCCCUCGAGGCCCCUGGCUUGUAUUAUGAUGCUUGUACGACUUAUUUAUGUUUUAGAGUUGUGUUGUG
rnacentral:lncRNA from 1 species